GUCUGAUGUGAAAGCCCUGGGCUCAACCCAGGAAGUGCAUUGGAAACUGUCAGACUUGAAUACGGGAGAGGGUAGUGGAAUUCCUAGUGUAGGAGUGAAAUCCGUAGAUAUUAGGAGGAACACCGGUGGCGRAGGCGGCUACCUGGACCGAUAUUGACGCUGAGACGCGAAAGCGUGGGUAGCAAACAGGAUUAGAUACCCUGGUAGUCCACGCCGUAAACGAUG
rnacentral:rRNA from 1 species